GUGCUCGCUUCGGCCGCACGUAUACUAAAAUUGGAACGAUACAGAGAAGAUUAGUAUGGCCCCUGCGCAAGGAUGGUAUACAAAUUCGUGAAGCAUUCCUUUUUUUU
rnacentral:snRNA from 1 species